CGCUGGAAAUGGCAUAACGCAUGGCUAUGGCAUGGCUUUUUUUCCUCCAUGGAUGUUGGAGUUGCACCGGUGGUCGUAGUUACCGUGGUUUUCGCAUUUCUUGGGUCGUGGCAAGUUUGGAGGACUUCACGGGGCUUUCACUCGAGGUGGUGAAACAAGUGUCGAAUUUGUGUAAUCAUGAGCGGCAUGGCGAACGGUCAAACUGAGCCGUGCACUUUAAGCACUGCUGCAUCCUCGUCGUUGUUCGCCGUUUCCGGGUGGGCAUACGCGGGUGUCAACCACAGCUUGGCAGGCAACGGCGGGCCCGAGUGCGCCCAAUUCGUAUCCACCCGGAGGCGCCUCUGGGAAACGCUGCUGGCUGUGCUCUGGGCUACGGCACUAGCGCUGUGGAGCUGGCGGCGUCUGCAGGUGCCUCCAGCGCCAAAAGUUGUGCGCGAAGAUCGUGGGGGCAAGCGGUGUCUGCUGGUGCUGCUCUGUUUGGUGUUUGGCAUGGAACUUGGCUUCAAGUUUGCUUCACGCACCGUCAUCUACAUUCUCAACCCCUGCCACAUCAUCACCAUGCUACAGAUAGUAAUGCUGGCGGCACCUCCCACGUCUUGCCUGCUGACGGUGCUGUUUCGAGUGCACAUCCAUUGGCUGAAUGGUCCCCUGCUGGCACUUCUGUUUCCGGUGCUGAACACGCGGCUGCUGCCGCUGGAACAAGAGGUGUACUGGGUGCAGCAUGGACUGAUGCUGGCCGUGCCCUGCUACCUCAUGCGGCUGGGCGGCGUGUUUAGCACAGAGCCCCUGGCCGACCUCAGCUGGGGGCUGCUCAGCCUGGCGCUGCAGUACCUCUACCACUUCCUUGUCCUGCAAUCGCUGGCACUGGUGACUGAAGUGAACCUGAACAGCAUGCUGUGUCCGGCGGUGUCAGACCCAUUUUAUGGCCCCCAUUACCGGCUGUGGGCACUGGCCCACCAGUUCUUGCUGGUGCUGGUGGCAGGCAAGCUGUACACAACUGUGUGUGCCUGGCUGCUGCGUGUCACCAGGCUGCGCAUCUGCUGCAGCACAGGACAGGACCACAAGCAUUCCUCUUAGAGGGACUACCUCAGGAGCAAUUCUCAAGGUCUGACUGCUGCCUUGGCCAGGUGCUCUGCAGCUGCAGGGGACUGAGGGCCAUGGGUUAAUUGUAGGAAUCAUCAGGGAGGUAGUGGCAGAAUACUGCACCAGGGAGACCAAUUCCUGUUCUGGUGCGUGCUACCCAGGCCUGCUGCUGUGGCUGCUCCAAGGCCAGCACCAACAGUGCUCAGUUGCUAAGAACUAUGGGAGAGGCAGCUGAGAAAAGGCGCUGCAUAACCUAGCAGCUCUCACGCUCCAGUGCUGAUAGCUGCCUAGUUUAGAAGUUGGCCAUGUAGUUUAAGCCUAAGUAGUGUUGCCACGGGUGAACUAGCAGUUGUCACAUCUAUGACAAAUAUUGCCCUAUAAAACCCACAGCCUUGUGCAAAAUAGCACCUGUAUGCUCAAUAGGCAAAGUUGGCAGCUACACUGCAAUGUUUUUAAAUAGAUGUGAGAACACGACCAGUAUGAAAAGCUAAAAUGAGAGUGAUUCCAAUGGUGCUAAUGGGGCCAGUAUAACCUGAGCUGCUGUGGAUGUUCUCCAUCCACAUUGUUUUGAUGAGCAGUGCAGGUGAUUGUGGUGGGUAGCCAUGCUGCAUCAAUGUAAUUUUGUGUGCCAUUCCCUUGUGUGUGUACAUUGUCAGAAGAUAAUUUCUUGUAUUAGCGACAGGUAGCUAAGCGUUAUGGUGAUAUCUUAAGCAUAGAGUUAUGAAAAGUGAACAUUUUUUAUCGUUAACAUAUACCCGUUUUAUAAGUUCGCAUAAGAAGUUCUCUAGUCAAUAAAGGUGUUAUACAAAUUGAAA